rnacentral:tRNA from 1 species
GCAGUGGUGGUUCAGUGGUAGAGUUCUUGCCUUUCAUGCUGGAGACCCGGGUUCAAUUCCUGGCCAAUCUG